rnacentral:rRNA from 1 species
UACGGGGGGGGCAAGCGUUGUUCGGAUUUACUGGGCGUAAAGGGCGCGUAGGCGGCAAUUCAAGUCAGCUGUGAAAUCUCCGGGCUUAACUCGGAACGGUCAGCUGAUACUGCUUUGCUAGAGUGCAGAAGGGGCAAUCGGAAUUCUUGGUGUAGCGGUGAAAUGCGUAGAUAUCAAGAGGAACACCUGAGGUGAAGACGGGUUGCUGGGCUGACACUGACGCUGAGGCGCGAAAGCUAGGGUAGCAAACGGG